GUCCCGCCUGCCCAGUGGUGACACAUUCAACGGCCGCGGUAUUUUGACCGUGCAAAGGUAGCGCAAUCACUUGUCUUUUAAAUAAAGACCUGUAUGAAUGGCAUAACGAGGGCUUAACUGUCUCCCCCCCUUAGUCAAUGAAAUUGAUCCUCCCGUGCAGAAGCGGGAAUAUUAACAUAAGACGAGAAGACCCUGUGGAGCUUUAGACUACAACAGCCCCUGUAAAGGCCUCCAGCUAAUAGAGGUAAAACAAAGGGCCAACUGUUUACUGUCUUUGGUUGGGGCGACCGCGGGGUACCAAAAAACCCCCAUGUGGAAUAAGAAAAACUUCUUUCAACUAAGAAUGUCAAUUCAAAGUAACAGAAUAUCUGACCUAUAAUGACCCGGCUCAAAGCCGAUCAACGAAAACAGUUACCCCAGGGAUAACAGCGCAAUCCUCUCCCAGAGCCCAUAUCGACGAGGGGGUUUACGACCUCGAUGUUGGAUCAGGACAUCCU
rnacentral:rRNA from 1 species